GCUCAGCUAUGUGAAUUAUGCAGAGGAUCUGGCCUCCAAGCUCCUACAAUGUUCCCCAAAGAACAGACUAUCAGCACAGGCUGCCUUGAGCCAUGAGUAUUUUAGUGACCUGCCCCCACGGCUAUGGGAACUGACCGAUAUGUCUUCUAUUUUUACCGUCCCAAAUGUAAGAUUGCAGCCAGAAGCUGGAGAAAGCAUGCGGGCCUUUGGGAAAAACAAUAGUUAUGGCAAAAGUCUAUCAAAUAGCAAGCACUGAUGAGCACAGCAUUCUCAAGAAAGCACAGAUAGGAGGCGUCAUCUAAACAAGGCAAUCUCUUGCAUGUCGCCUAUUCUAGUCACAGAUGCUUCACAGAAACAAGCAGAAGACAGCUGCUUCUGAAAAGGUUGUGUCUUUA